rnacentral:rRNA from 1 species
CAGCAGCCGCGGUAAUACGGAGGGUGCAAGCGUUAAUCGGAAUUACUGGGCGUAAAGCGUGCGUAGGCGGUUCGUUAAGUCUGUUGUGAAAGCCCCCGGCUCAACCGGGGAGGGUCAUUGGAAACUGGGAAACUUGAGUGCAGAAGAGGAGAGUGGAAUUCCACGUGUAGCGGUGAAAUGCGUAGAGAUGUGGAGGAACACCAGUGGCGAAGGCGACUCUCUGGUCUGUAACUGACGCUGAGGAGCGAAAGCGUGGGGAGCGAACAGGAUUAGAUACCCCGGUAGUCCCUGUCUCUUAUAC